CAGAAAGACCCUAUGAAGCUUUACUGUAACUUGAAAUUGAAAUUGGACUUUAGUCGCGCAGUAUAGGUGGGAGGCGUUGAGCAUAUUCUUGCGGGAAUAUAGGAGCCAUCAGUGAGAUACCACUCUUCUAAUGUUAGAUUUCUAACCUUGUACCAUUAUCUGGUCAAGGAACAGUUUCAGGCGGGCAGUUUGACUGGGGCGGUCGCCUCCCAAACGGUAACGGAGGCGUACAAAGGUUUCCUCUGAACGGAUAGAAAUCGUAUCUAGAGUAUAAAGGCAUAAGGAAGCUUGACUGUGAGACCUACAAGUCGAGCAGGGACGAAAGUCGGUCUUAGUGAUCUGACGGUACUGAGUGGAAAGGCCGUCACUCAACGGAUAAAAGUUACUCUAGGGAUAACAGGCUGA
rnacentral:rRNA from 1 species